rnacentral:piRNA from 1 species
UGUUAGGUUUCCUUGUCUUUACACUAGCGCU